GAAGGCCUCUGGUUGGUCGGUGAAUAGCCUGACUUGUAAAAACUGGUGUGUAGCAGACAGCAGCACAUAGUGUCAGUUUGGCCAGAAUAUACAAGCAAGCAAGUGGUUCACUUAAGCUUGUGUUGGUUAGCAGGUGUAGUUUGCUAGCAGCUAGGCUAGCUUUAGACAUUGCCAACACAUCAGUUGCUAUGGCUUUUGGGUUUUGCCUUAGAUGGAAGGCUGGUAUUUUGUACUCCGUAUGGACAAUCUGACUCAUUCAAUGCAGAGUUGCAGAGGAUACAUUGUAAAGCAUCACAACUCCACAGUCGAGAUCAGCAUCCCCUAUAAUGCUGAAGGAGGAUACAGGAAGGAACAGUUCCUGAGGAGCGCACAUUCACGGUCUACCUCGGGGAUGUCCCUAAAGACAUUGAGUUGGCUGCGG